UACUAGAGACCGGCGCACGGGUGCGUAACGCGUAUGCAAUCUACCUUUUACAGAGGGAUAGCCCAGAGAAAUUUGGAUUAAUACCUCAUAGUAUAGCGACCUGGCAUCAGGAUGUUAUUAAAGUCACAACGGUAAAAGAUGAGCAUGCGUCCCAUUAGCUAGUUGGUAAGGUAACGGCUUACCAAGGCGACGAUGGGUAGGGGUCCUGAGAGGGAGAUCCCCCACACUGGUACUGAGACACGGACCAGACUCCUACGGGAGGCAGCAGUGAGGAAUAUUGGACAAUGGGCGCAAGCCUGAUCCAGCCAUGCCGCGUGCAGGAUGACGGUCCUAUGGAUUGUAAACUGCUUUUGUACAGGAAGAAACCCUUUCACGUGUGAAAGAUUGACGGUACUGUAAGAAUAAGGAUCGGCUAACUCCGUGCCAGCAGCCGCGGUAAUACGGAGGAUCCAAGCGUUAUCCGGAAUCAUUGGGUUUAAAGGGUCCGUAGGCGGCCAGAUAAGUCAGUGGUG
rnacentral:rRNA from 1 species